UUUGAUGAAGACAGAAUCCUGGGCUUAAUUCAAUCGAUUGGGCAAUCGAUUGACAGGAUGACUGAGCCCCUUCCGGAAAUAAAGUGUGUAUCGGAAAUCUUUUUUGUAGUUUCGGAAAAGAUGAAAUUAUAAAAAUAAAAAAAAAUCUUUGAAUUAAUAAAGACAUAAUUAUCAUUUUCAAAAAAUUAUGGGGGUAUAGGUAUAAAAAUGGGGGUACAGGGGAAAUUUUUCCUAUGUUGUCCAUGUCCAAAAACUGUAAGGCCUUUCUCAGUCCAGAAAAAAUAGGCCCAAUCCAGAAUAAACCCAACUCAAUAGAAAUCUGAAACCCUAAUUUCAUUUCACCACUCUCACUAAAAAUCUGAAACCUAUUCUCAUUUCAUCACUCUCAACUCAUACACUCACACCUCCACCAACUCCAUUGAUUCUGUUCGAAGUCGCCGCCGCCGCCACCAUCGGUUCUGUUCGAAGCUGUGGCCGCCGCCACCGGUUCUGUUCGAAGCCGUGGCCGCCGUCACCAUCGGUUCUGUUCGAAGCCGCCGUCACCACCGGUUCUGUUCGAAGCCGCCGUCACCACCGGUAUCGGUUCAACGACACUAAUACCCUCCUUUUAUUUUCCUUUUUCUUCUCUUCAACUAUAAAUGGAGAGGGUACAUGCAACACGAUCCUUCACAAAGGCAUAGAGGUACUGAAUCUACUGAGGGUGCCGUUUUUUUCUGUGUUGGAAGGUCGUCUUCACUCAUCACUGUGAGCAAGAACAAAAAGUGUGGUUCUAGCUUUAGAAGAUGGAGCAAGGAGAAGCUAGCAAUCAAGGAGGACAUCAAGGAGUAGUGGAGCAAGGAGAGGGUAACAGUCAAGGAGGACAACAAAGAGUAACGGAACAAGGAGAGGGUAACAGUCAAGGAGGACAGCAAGGAGUAUUGGAGCAUCACCACUCUGUUAAAUGAACAUCACUAUUGGAAACCACACAAAUUUACUCAUGUUUCCACAUGUGAAAGACUGUUAAAUGAACAUCACUAUUGGAAACCACACAAAUUUACUCAUGUUUCCACAUGAGAAAGAUGGCAAGAGAAUUAGCAGUGGUUCAUUUUCUACCGUUCAUUUUCAACUUCGAAGUGGUUGUUAUCUCAUAUUUGGGGAGUUGAAUUUCAAGCAUCAGCCAUAUGCAAACUGGUCAUCAAGCUCCAAAAUGUUGCUUUACUAUGUUUAUUAAUAGAUUUGGAUUGAAAAAUAUAUGUUUAUUUAAAUAUUUCUGGAUGACUGUAACAUAUAAUUACUUUUCCAUAUGACUGUAAUUAUAAAGUUUGACUCAUUCUGGGUGAUGUUGGCAAGCUUUUGAUUUGGAUGAAAUCCUGAAUAGCAUGGCCUUGUUUAGGUUUUCCAUAUUAUUUAGGUUUGUUACCAAAGAUGAAGGUCCUAAUAUGUUCUUAAUUGAUGGUCCUGUUAAUCUA